UAAACCUGCAAAGGAGGAAAGGCCUUGAGGAGCCCUGGCCUGAGGCAGAGACAGGAAUGGGGCACAGAAUGCAGGGGCUCCAAGACAGAGUUAGGGGUGAGGUCAGGGGACUGGGCUCUCACCUUGUGCUCCAGGCCUCGAGGAUUCCGGAUCCUGUCUCCCCAACAGCAGCCCGGAGGGAGGCCUGCCUUUGUCCCCGUCCCGUCCCUUCUCCCGACACCUCCCAGGACACUGACCUUGCCGCAAGUCGAUUUCCGCCAGCUGCCCGUGAGUGUUUCCCACAAUCACAGAACUGAGGAGACCAAAGACAGGGAACUCUGAUGGGAAAUGUGUGCCUUUUCUCUGAGUGUCCGCGCAUCGGGGAGAGCCGCUUAGAAGCAUCAGUGGACGGGGCGAGAGAAGUUCCCAGGUUUGGGGUGUGUGAACAUUGGUAUCCUUGUAUUAACAAGUCUACAAAAUUCAGAGGGCACUGAACUGCAAGCAGAGAAGUGUAGCCUGAACACGGGAGGAAGCGUGAAUAUGUGAGCAGAGAUGUUAUCGCCAGCAUCUGCCUUCAGUGUGCAGAAGCAAAAAAGACAGCACACACAGCGACCAGCCCAGCCUGUCCCAGGACUUUCAACAACAGAAGCCAGCUGAGGUCAAAGCAGGGAGGGACCAGCCUGGGUCUCAAAGCAAAUAAGAGAGGCUGUAUCCA